AGGCGUGGUGGCAUACUCCUAUAGUCCCAGCUACUUGUAAUGCUGAGGUAGGAGAACUUGCUUGAGUCCAGGAGUUCUGGGCUACAGUGCCCUGAGCCAGUGGGGUGUCCACACUAAGUUUGGCAUCAAUAUGGUCACCUCCCAGGAACAGGGGACCACCAGGUUGCCUAAGAAGGGGUAAACUGGUGCAGGUCAGAAACAAGUCAAAACUCCCAUGAUGGUCUGUUUUGGGAUUUAGACUAUUCUUUUUUUCUGUACCGGGGAUUGAACUCAGGUCCUUGCACUUGCAAGGCAGGCCACCGAACCUUU
ensembl:misc_RNA Metazoa_SRP Metazoan signal recognition particle RNA